GACUCGACCCCAGGUGCUUUAUUUACCCCAGGGGCCCCCCGGACCACCAGGACCCCGGGCCCCCCCGGACCGCCACCGUCCACGGACGGGUUCGCCUUUGACGGCGCCACCCAGGUGCAUCCAGCCUUGAAAGGAGAGAAAGGAGACCGAGGAGUUCCCGGCGUUCCUGGGACACCAGGUGAUCAUUACGAAGGCAUUUACGGGAUCAAGAGCAAGCAGAAAGGAGAAAGGGGGGAGCCGGGAUCCAAGGGCGAGAAGGGAGAGCCAGGUGGAGGAUUCUACGGCCCCCAAUACGCUGGGGUCCAAGGCGUGCCGGGACCUCCGGGGCCACCAGGGCCGAGGGGAGAAUCCAUCAGGGGACCUCCUGGUCCACAGGGGCCACCAGGGACCCCUGGGGUUGGUUACGCUGGACAACCAGGAUAUCCUGGGCCUCCAGGGCCCCCUGGGCCUCCAGGCCCCGCAUCGUUGCCUGGAGCUUACAGGCCCACACACAGCAUCAGUCUCCCCGGGCCCCCGGGGCCACCCGGCCCCCCCGGAGCUCCGGGGCCCAUUUCUGGGGUGAGUUUUGACCGACUACAGCGGUGCUGCGCGUGCAGCGUGCAAGCGCGUUCCCCAGACUCACAUCCAUCCGCUGGUCCUCACAGGUGCUGG
rnacentral:lncRNA from 1 species